UUUAAUAGAGAUGGGUUUUCACCGUGUUAGCCAGGCUGAUCUCAAACUCCUGACCUCAGGUGAUCCGCCCGUUGCGGCCUCCCAUGGUGUCAACUUGAAAUAGCUUAAGCAAAGAAAGAAAAGGUUUUUAUUGAAGGUCUCAAAUAACCAUGGAAAGGGCAAGGAAGCAACUGAGCCUCAAAACCCAUUGGAAGCAGAAGCUGGAAUGCUAACAAGACUUUCUCUUUUCUCUUCUCCCUGCAUGUUAUUUCAUUCUCAGACAAUCUUCCUGCACAUGGCUGGAUAUGGAGCCACCAGCUACUCCUGCCCUCACAUCUCACGACUGUGCUAAAAAAAAAAAAAAAAUUGAACAUCCUGGCUAAAAUUGCCCACCUCCUCACCCCAAGCUGGAUGCCAGCUGAAGAGUCCCAGGAGAAGGGCAUUUGGCUUAGCCCAGCUCUGCAGAACAUCCAGAGUGCUUCAGUGCAGAGCAAAGCCCCAGCAGUUACAAGUGCCAUCAUCAGAUGGGAGAAAGGAUUUGAUCACUCUGUGUGUGUGUGGAGUGCGAAGGGAUGGGAGGUGAGUCUAUGACAGUUUCCGUACUUUAUCUGACUAUCCAUACACUUCCUCCUCUUCCCUCCUCUUCCUGUUGGGACAUUUUUGUACAUGCCACAUUCCAUAAGAUUCCAAAGGAAAUAUGAGCCCUUUAUGAUUGUCUAAAUCAGAGUCCAAUUGCAGGGCUGGGCUUUCUGUUACAAAUUCAAUCACAGAGUAGAAAUUAACCAUACACUUUAAAAAAUGCAACAUUUCAAACCCAAGUGUGACUCUGCUCACUUCUACAAUCUUGUUGGUCUAUAACUGCAUGCCUGACUCCUACAAAGGCAGAAUUGUAUUGCUGUCUGCUACUCACACACUAGAUUGUUUAAUUCUUUAAAAAAUUUCUGACAGAGAAAUUGAAUAUGUAUAUGACUGUCUGAAGUUUGCACACAUUAGUAAUUUUGAUUGAUUGGUGAUUGAGGGACUCUUUCUCUAUUUUUUGGCUUUGAAAUGCCACAAGUUGGGUGGGGGGGAAUGUCCAUGUCCUUCUUGCUGUUCACAUUUCUCCAUCCUCCCUUCCUCUGCCAGAGAAGGAGCGGGGUGAGGAGAGGGAAACUUAUCCCUCCCAGGCCUGAGCUCUGUAAUUGGAUGGAGACUCAGGAGAUGUCAGGCGAUGAAAAAGAUCCAGGCGGCCUGUGACUAAUCCAGAGCUGGCUGUAAUUUUCAUUCUCUGUGCUUUCUAAUGGGAAUAUAAAGAAAGUUUUGGACUCUGAAGGAGAGGAAAGCAAGAAGAAGUCUUUUUUUAAGGGGGAAAAAAAAGAGCUUUCUUUAUUCACAACCUCAUUGUCCGUUGAGUAAAAUUUAUCACUUUUGUAAAACCUUUUAUUUUCUGGUAGUAAAGUUCAAACCCAGUUGAGAUUAUAUUCCCUCCCAUGUACCCAAGUGUGAUUUCUCUUAACAUCAAUUCCCUUUCUAUCAAAAUUUGAGCGU